rnacentral:rRNA from 1 species
AGUGAACGCUGGCGGUAGGCCUAACACAUGCAAGUCGAACGGCAGCACAGUAAGAGCUUGCUCUUACGGGUGGCGAGUGGCGGACGGGUGAGGAAUACAUUGGAAUCUACUUUUUCGUGGGGGAUAACGUAGGGAAACUUACGCUAAUACCGCAUACGACCUACGGGUGAAAGCAGGGGAUCUUCGGACCUUGCGCGAUUGAAUGAGCCGAUGUCGGAUUAGCUAGUUGGCGGGGUAAAGGCCCACCAAGGCGACGAUCCGUAGCUGGUCUGAGAGGAUGAUCAGCCACACUGGAACUGAGACACGGUCCAGACUCCUACGGGAGGCAGCAGUGGGGAAUAUUGGACAAAGGGCGCAAGCCUGAUCCAGCCAUACCGCGUGGGUGAAGAAGGCCUUCGGGUUGUAAAGCCCUUUUGUUGGGAAGGAAAAGCAGCAGGUUAAUACCCCGCUGUUCUGACGGUACCCAAAGAAUAAGCACCGGCUAACUUCGUG